rnacentral:rRNA from 1 species
CAUGAGAGUCGAUAACACCCGAAGCCUGUGAGCUAACCGCAAGGGGCAGCAGUCGAAGGUGGGGUUGAUGAUUGGGGUGAAGUCGUAACAAGGUAAC